rnacentral:rRNA from 1 species
UUAUACAGCGAAACUGCGAAUGGCUCAUUAUAUAAGUUAUCGUUUAUUUGAUAGUACCUUACUACUUGGAUAACCGUGGUAAUUCUAGAGCUAAUACAUGCUAAAAAUCCCGACUUCGGAAGGGAUGUAUUUAUUAGAUUAAAAACCAAUGCCCUUCGGGGCUCUCUGGUGAUUCAUGAUAACUUCUCGAAUCGCACGGCCUUGUGCCGGCGAUGGUUCAUUCAAAUUUCUUCCCUAUCAACUUUCGAUGUUUGGGUCUUGGCCAAACAUGGUUGCAACGGGUAACGGAGGGUUAGGGCUCGACCCCGGAGAAGGAGCCUGAGAAACGGCUACUACAUCCAAGGAAGGCAGCAGGCGCGCAAAUUACCCAAUCCCGACACGGGGAGGUAGUGACAAUAAAUACUGAUACAGGGCUCUUUUGGGUCUUGUAAUUGGAAUGAGUACAAUUUAAAUCCCUUAACGAGGAACAAUUGGAGGGCAAGUCUGGUGCCAGCAGCCGCGGUAAUUCCAGCUCCAAUAGCGUAUAUUAAAGUUGUUGUGGUUAAAAAGCUCGUAGUUGAACCUUGGGCCUGGCUGGCCGGUCCGCCUCACCGCGUGUACUGGUCCGGCCGGGUCUUUCCCCCUGUGGAACCCCAUGCCCUUCACUGGGUGUGGCGGGAAAACAGGACUUUUACUUUGAAAAAAUUAGAGUGCUCCAGGCAGGCCUAUGCUCGAAUACAUUAGCAUGGAAUAAUAGAAUAGGACGUGUGGUUCUAUUUUGUUGGUUUCUAGGACCGCCGUAAUGAUUAAUAGGGACAGUCGGGGGCAUCAGUAUUCAAUCGUCAGAGGUGAAAUUCUUGGAUUGAUUGAAGACUAACUACUGCGAAAGCAUUUGCCAAGGAUGUUUUCAUUAAUCAGGAACGAAAGUUAGGGGAUCGAAGACGAUCAGAUACCGUCGUAGUCUUAACCAUAAACUAUGCCGACUAGGGAUCGGACGAUGUUAUUUUUUGACUCGUUCGGCACCUUACGAGAAAUCAAAG